CCAGCCGCCGCGGUAAUACGUAGGUGGCAAGCGUUGUCCGGAUUUACUGGGCGUAAAGCGAACGCAGGCGGAUACUUAAGUAGAGAGUGAAAGGCGGGAGCUCAACUCCUGGACUGCUCCCUAUACUGGGUGUCUUGAGUGGCGGAGAGGAAGAUGGAACAAAUCGUGUAGCGGUGAAAUGCGUAGAUAUGAUUUGGAACACCAAUGGCGAAAGCAAUCUUCUGGACGCAUACUGACGCUGAGGUUCGAAAGCCAUGGUAGCGAACAGGAUUAGAUACCCUGGUAGUCAUGGCCAUAAACGAUGUUCACUAGGUGUCGGGGCUUCGCCUCGGUGCCGCAGCUAACGCAUUAAGUGAACCGCCUGGGAACUACGGCCGCAAGGUUGAAACUCAAAGGAAUUGGCGGGGGCCCGCACAAGCGGUGGAGCAUAUGGCUUAAUUCGAUGCAACGCGAAGAACCUUACCAAGGUUUGACAUGGAUCUGCAAGCGGUAGAAAUAUCGUCGCCUUCGAGGGUGAUCCACAGGUGGUGCAUGGCUGUCGUCAGCUCGUGUUGUGAAAUGUUGGGUUAAGUCCCGCAACGAGCGCAACCCACAUGUUCUGUUGCCAGCGGGUAAUGCCGGGAACUCGGAACAAACUGCCUCUGUAAAGAGGAGGAAGGUGGGGAUGACGUCAAGUCAUCAUGCCCCUUACAUCUUGGGCUGCACAUAUGCUACAAUGGCCGGUACAAAGAGUUGCUAACCCGCGAGGGUGUGCUAAUCUCAAAAAGCCGGUCUCAGUUCGGAUUGGAGUCUGCAACUCGACUCCAUGAAGUUGGAAUCGCUAGUAACCGCAGGUCAGCAAUACUGCGGUGAAUACGUUCCCGGGCCUUGCACACACCGCCCGUCACAUGACGGAAGUCGGUUCUACCCGAAGCCGCUGCGCCAACCGCAAGGAGGCAGGCGUCGAAGGUAGAGUCGGUAACUGGCGUGAAGUCGUAACAAGGUAACCAA
rnacentral:rRNA from 1 species